UACGGAGGAUGCAAGCGUUAUCCGGAAUGAUUGGGCGUAAAGCGUCCGCAGGUGGCUGUGUAAGUCUGCUGUCAAAGAGCAAAGCUCAACUUUGUAAAGGCAGUGGAAACUACACGGCUAGAGUGCGGUCGGGGCAGAGGGAAUUCCUGGUGUAGCGGUGAAAUGCGUAGAGAUCAGGAAGAACACCGGUGGCGAAGGCGUUCUGCUAGACCUGUACUGACACUGAGGGACGAAAGCUAGGGGAGCGAAUGGG
rnacentral:rRNA from 1 species